GGAAUAGAAUGAAAUGUGAUCCCAAAAAUUGAGUGCUCACACCGUUUAGCUUAAUUGUGUCUUCCUAACCAUAUAAAUAUAGAUGGUAAUUAUUCAUUCAGUCGCAGGGAUACAAUUUAUCACCAAUUGAGCAAUGCUGUAAGAAUGCAGUAUUAAAGCAUUGCUAUUUAUAAUGGCAUCACUAACUUAUUUUGUUACUGUAAGGAUCUAUGUAG